UGGCGGUCGGUCGCUCGUGUUUCCCCGCCGGGGAAUAUCGGGAGGAAAGUCCGGGCAACGCAGAGCAUCACAUUUCUUAACGGGAAGCUGGGGGCGACCCCAGGGUUGAAGGUGACAGAAAACAACCGCCGCUCGUUGUGGGCGGCAAGGGUGAAAAGGCGGGGUAAGAGCCCACCGGAUGCCUUGGUGACAAGGCGUGCCGCACUACCUGUGAGUUGCAAGGUCAAGUAUAUCGGCAUCUGAGGGCUGCUCGUCCAUUGCCGAGGGGUAGACUGCUAUAUCGUCAUGGCAACAUGACGGACAGAUAAAUGACCGACGGCUGCUUUUGUAUUGCUGUGCAGCCACAUAACCCGGCUUAUAGCCAUACU
rnacentral:RNase_P_RNA from 1 species